rnacentral:rRNA from 1 species
UACGAAGGGGGGCUAGCGUUGUUCGGAUUUACUGGGCGUAAAGCGCACGUAGGCGGAUCUUUAAGUCAGAGGUGAAAUCCCAAGGCUCAACCUUGGAACUGCCUUUGAUACUGGGGAUCUUGAGUCCGGGAGAGGUGAGUGGAACUGCGAGUGUAGAGGUGAAAUUCGUAGAUAUUCGCAAGAACACCAGUGGCGAAGGCGGCUCACUGGCCCGGUACUGACGCUGAGGUGCGAAAGCGUGGGGGAGCAAACAGG